UAUUAUUUGGAACUUUUGGACUUCAAUGGAUUGCUUUGUGCUAUUUUUUACCCAAUUGAAGGAACUGACAAGUCUUUUGAUUUAUGGGUUAUGAAUGAGUCAUGGACUAAACAAUUAAGUGUUGAAUAUGUUCUUGGAGUUGAGAGGCCUUUGGGGUUUUGGAAAAAUGGUGAGUUGUUUCUCGAGAGCUCGGAUCAAGAACUAGUACUGUUCGACCCG